rnacentral:rRNA from 1 species
UGCCAGCCGCCGCGGUAAUACGAAGGGUGCUAGCGUUGUUCGGAAUUACUGGGCGUAAAGCGCGCGUAGGCGGAUUGUUAAGUCGGGGGUGAAAUCCCGGGGCUCAACCCCGGAACUGCCUCCGAUACUGGCAAUCUAGAGGUCGAGAGAGGCGAGUGGAAUACCGAGUGUAGAGGUGAAAUUCGUAGAUAUUCGGUGGAACACCAGUGGCGAAGGCGGCUCGCUGGCUCGAUUCUGACGCUGAGGUGCGAAAGUGUGGGGAGCAAACAGGAUUAGAUA